rnacentral:lncRNA from 1 species
AAAUGUAAUAUUAUAUACACUCACGGUAUCUACCAUCUCCACCCCAGUCAAGAUUGACAAACAAGGCUUUUUGGUUUGGUUUGAUUUGGUUUUGGUUUUAGUUUGAAUGGAAUAUAUCAAGAAUGUAGAAGUACUCAGAAGGCAUGGAAUGAUUGCAUGGAAGAAGAAAAUGGUUAAAGUUGCUUGACUGCAGUUCUGAGUGUGUAGAAGACAUAUAAAUGUGGGGUUUCCACUCAUUUGUCUCUGUGCCCAUGUUCUACAACCUCAGUGGGGUAGCGCAAUGCAGUUGCAACCUUGCAACAGUGUAUACACCUUGGCAUCUGCAUUGGAUUACCAUCCUAAGCCAUUAGGACAUUAAAAUUGUGCUGGAAAUACUUGUAAAUUAUUUACAGUUUGUGUUAAUUUCACGCUUCAAGUGCCUGCAGAUCAGGGUCAAGGAAAUGAGCCCUUGGCUGUAAUCAGAAGGAAUGACAUAGGUCAUGGGGAAAUGGAUCCCAGGAGGUAAAGACAAUUAUAAAAGGAAGAAAUGUAUUGAAGUAGAGAGAUCAAAUUCCUGCCUUGCCAUAGCAUCAUUACUGUAUGUACCUAAAUAUAAAAUAAUCAUUUUCAGAUCUUUUCCCCCCCAUGCUUGAUUGAAACUGUAUGCAUGUAGAAAGAAAUUAGAUUUUUGGCAUUUUGAAAAUAUCAUUUGAUUCCUUAAUCUGUUUUUGGUUUAACAGAGAUCUGCAUGGCAAACAUCAUUUUCAUUGCCAGGCGAGUUUAAAUUGAUGGAUUGGACCCACCAAUGAAACAAGCUGAAGCAAUGAACAAUGCCUUUCCAGACUGUGCAAGACCUUUUUCACUAGGUCAUAGGGGAAUGAGCGUCAUGCCUUACUUUGCUGUGUCAGCUUCCAAAGAAGAGGACGUCAUGCAUCUGGGCAAGGCCAGUGUGGAAAGUGAAAUGUGAUGUUCCUGUUAUGAGUAUUAUUCCAGAAGCGUUUGGAAACAGUGCAUUCAACAAGGAAGCAUCAGAAAAUAAAUAAUAUACAGCAUAUGCA